GAAAUAAUAGAGCUCUUGCUAACAGGAACCUCAAAACCCAAAGGUACAAAACUGGCGGGCCUGGGUUAAGCACUUAAAAGCCAUUAGAGAACUCGCUAUCUAACUCUAUAAUGUCUGGCUAGGAUAAGUUAGUCGUGGAAUGGGUUAGAUUGACAUUAGGUCACCCACCAACCACAAGAAAAUUUCUGUGCAACAAGAUACAGAGUAAAACAAAACUCCCAACCCACUGGCACAUCCUUCUUCAGUAUUUAUUUGGCUUCAAGAGACAAGGCUUAGCUAAAGAAUUCUGAUCUUCCAGUUUCAAAGAAUUGAACGUGUCAUCUUCCAGCUCAAAUGCUUAUUUUAUGUCAAGAACUGUGGUCCCAGAAAAUCUAUAUAGCUACAAAAAUGGCAGCAUCUUACUAAGACAACCUAGAAUUGCGACAGCUUUUAGGGGAAUGUUCCAAUUCUACAAGACUGUUCAUUUUAGAAGUGUACCUGAAAGCAAGAGUUCCCAAAUCAAACAAACAAAAUGGGAUAACUAUUUUAACUGGUAUGCGGAAGCUUCUAAGAGUCUUCGAAAAUUCAAAAUAGCUCCAAUGAAGGAUUAAUUGCAAAAGACUAAUGAAAAGGUAGACACAAAAGUUACCUAAAACAAGACUGUAAGACUGAUGUGAUUCCUACUACUCCCCUCUCUCCUUCUUUACCUGAAUAUUCAGAAUCUACUAAUCCUUUAAUGACCUUUCCACUCUUAAGAGACCACAAGACCAUAAACAAAAGUCCACCACACGAAUGGCCUUAUAACUGCAAUAGCUCCAAACCCAGCAAACUAAAACACCUGGGCCUCACCUGUUGUAACCUCCUAGGAGUCCAUAAUUAAAACACUGACCCAGAAAUCAAUGUCUCUUUUAUAAUCAACUCUGCAACUAGAAAAAAGAUUGUCCUCAAAGGUUUUGUGUCAUCUUUUGACACCAAUUCCAAUGUUCUCAUAGCCUCAAGGAAGGGUCCUGAUAUGGGCCCCUCCCAGGGCUGAUGGGACUCCAAGGGACUCUCCGUAAACUGCUACCAGUUAUUCCCUUAAACAGCCAUGGGAAAGGUAAAAUUAAAAAUUAAUGAAAAGUUGAGGCAUCUGGCUAGCUCAAUCAGUAGAGCAUGGGACUCUUGAGCUCAGGACAUGAGUUCAGGCCCCACGUUGAGUGUAGAGCCGAUCUGGUUUGUUUUUUUUUUUUAAGUCACAAAUGCCCUUUAAAAAAACAUCAGUGAAGCUCUUGCCAAAUUCUGGUAAAUACUAUGGCUAUACUCUCUACUUUAAAUCCCACUCACUUCAGAGACUGCAGGUAGAAUCCUAGAAAAACUUGAAAAUGCUGGUAAGGGUGAGAAUUCUUACCAGAGUCUGCUCUCCCGGAUCUCUAUAUUGCCCAGUAGAGAGAAGGUAAAAUUUCACAUUUUCCCUUACCUACCAAAUUCAGACUCCUGUGAAUUGGUUUUGGAGUAACCACUGGUUGUUGAUCCUUUCUACGUCCCUCUUGUUUGUCUCAUUUUAUAUCUUGAGAAUUUGGCUAAGCUGUUUGCCUGAAACAUGCAGGUUAUCAAUUUUUGCAAAUACAUGCAGCUCAACCAUCAGGUUGGGGACCCAA
rnacentral:lncRNA from 1 species